GGUGACGUCGCUGGUAACGUCGGCUCUCCGACUCUCUCUCUCUCUUCUCGGUCUCUCUCUCUUCUCGGUCUCGUUGCACCAUCGUCGCCGCCACCAAACAGUGGUGGCCGUUCAUCUUCGUUUAACAGGGGGGUGUGCGUGAGUGGCCGGAAAACCACCGGCACCGGCUCUGCUUUGGUGACCGGAGAAGACAAGGGGAUGGGGUGCAGUUUGUGUGGUUGACUGUGUGUUUGAAGAAGACACCCUUCUUUGUGUCUGCAGGUAUAACCGAGAGAGAGAGUGAACUUGUGGAGUGGUUUCUUUGUGGUUUGAAUUGUGAAGGGGUCCUUGAAAACAGAUCGUGCAGGGGGGAUUUAUGACCAUAAAUUUUGCUUUGGAACUUUAACAAGAUUGUCCAGGCAAUUGUGGCGGUGAUGGUGGAGGGUGGAGAAGCGUGAUGGUGGGUGGAGGUUGAAGAUGAAGUGUGGUGGUGGGGUUUUAUAAAUAAAAAUGAAGAAGAUGCCCGGAUAGUCCCUGUGGUUUGGCCUUUUAAGGAAAGGGUAUU
rnacentral:lncRNA from 1 species